rnacentral:rRNA from 1 species
GACGAACGCUGGCGGCGUGCUUAACACAUGCAAGUCGAGCGAUGAAGCUCCUUCGGGAGUGGAUUAGCGGCGGACGGGUGUGUAACACGUGGGUAACCUGCCUCAUAGAGGGGAAUAGCCUUCCGAAAGGAAGAUUAAUACCGCAUAAGAUUGUAGUACCGCAUGGUAUAGCAAUUAAAGGAGCAAUCCGCUAUGAGAUGGACCCGCGUCGCAUUAGCUAGUUGGUGAGGUAACGGCUCACCAAGGCGACGAUGCGUAGCCGACCUGAGAGGGUGAUCGGCCACAUUGGGACUGAGACACGGCCCAGACUCCUACGGGAGGCAGCAGUGGGGAAUAUUGCACAAUGGGGGAAACCCUGAUGCAGCAACGCCGCGUGAGUGAUGACGGUCUUCGGAUUGUAAAGCUCUGUCUUCAGGGACGAUAAUGACGGUACCUGAGGAGGAAGCCACGGCUAACUACGUGCCAGCCGCCGCCGUAA